rnacentral:rRNA from 1 species
GUUCUCUGGGCCUUUCCUGACGCUGAGGAGCGAAAGCGUGGGGAGCGAACAGGCUUAGAUACCCUGGUAGUCCACGCUGUAAACGGUGGGUACUAGGUGUGGGGUCCAUUCCACGGGUUCCGUGCCGUAGCUAACGCUUUAAGUACCCCGCCUGGGGAGUACGGCCGCAAGGCUAAAACUCAAAUGAAUUGACGGAAUCACUAGGAAGUCGCAGCUGGGGACUGAGAUACGGCCCAGACUCCUACGGGAGGCAGCAGUGGGGAAUAUUGCACAAUGGGCGGAAGCCUGAUGCAGCAACGCCGCGUGCGGGAUGACGGCCUUCGGGUUGUAAACCGCUUUCGCCUGUGACGAAGCGUGAGUGACGGUAAUGGGUAAAGAAGCACCGGCUAACUACGUGCCAGCAGCCGCGGUGAUACGUAGGGUGCGAGCGUUGUCCGGAUUUAUUGGGCGUAAAGGGCUCGUAGGUGGUCGAUCGCGUCGGAAGUGUAAUCUUGGGGCUUAACCCUGAGCGUGCUUUCGAUACGGGUU